GGAGGGAUGACAGAGCGGCCGAAUGUGGUGGUCUUGAAAACCACUGUGCAGUGACCCUGUACCGCGGGUUCGAAUCCCGCUCCCUCCGCCC
rnacentral:tRNA from 1 species